rnacentral:lncRNA from 1 species
AUUUAGUACACAGGAAGUCGGCCAGAGAAACAUUUCUCAUAUUUGAAGGCCGGAAAGAGGGACAUUUCUGACACCGGAAGUCAGUGAGAGGACUCUUUCCCACACAGGAAGUCAGCUAGAGAGCCGUCUCCCCUCUCUGGAGCCGAGAGAGGCCGGUUUCCCCCACCAUAGCAGGGCUGGGAGAAAGGGAUGGGGAGAGUCCCUCCUGCCACUGACCCAGGAUGGAUAAAAGUACCCCUUUCAUAGAAGGAAGAAAAUGGGAACAAAGGUGCUGCUGAUCAUCUGAGGUUGCCUGCAUGGCAGUGAAGAACAUGGACCUUUGG